ensembl:lncRNA
GGCAAAGCUUUUAUUGAAGGAAGUCAAAUUAACAUGACAACAUGUUCCUGCCAAAGGUCCAAUGUGUACAGCCAAUAAGAUGUGGCGUACAGCGUGUACAGCCAAUAAGAUGUGGCGUACAACGUGUACAGCCAAAAAAUGAGGGUGUAAUUAACUAGCAGCAGAGGACCGCAUCAUGUUCAUUGGAUUACAUUAUAUCAAUGACUAUAUCAUCUUAUCAUUGGCUAUUCAAAGGUUCUGUGUUGAUCACGUAUCCAGGGGUGGCUGGUGUCACUAUAAAUCAGAGGAUGGGCCCAUAGUAACGUCUGGAACCGGGAUGAAAUGGAUCGGGAUUCAAACACAUCCAACACGCAGUUUCCGUUUCACUACGAGCCGUCCUCCCAUCACCAGCCUCCUCUGUCUGUAUCACUCAUGAUAUUUCAGAGUGGUUAAAUAACAGGCGUGGACAUGUACGACACUACCGGUGAUGACACAAGAGGUUCUACAUCUCAAAUGGCAUCCUAUGCCCUCUAUCGUCCACUACUUCUGACCAGGACCCUUAGAGAUCUAGUCCAAAAGUAGUGCACAACAUAGGGAAUAGGGUGCCAUUUGGCACACAUGCACCACACUAAUGAGCGUUAUUGUUACUUUGAUGGAAAGUUGAAACAGACAACAGUGACACAAUACAGGCAACACUGCUACAGGCAACACUGUGCUACAGGCAACACUGUGCUACAGGCAUGGAUUGUAGCCAAAGGCACUUGGCAACAACAAAACGAAAAAGAAGAAAGUGAGUGUUGUUGACAACACAAAUACAAUGUAAGAGUGGACGCAACAAACACGACAAACACUUCUUCCUGUCCCCUCAAGCCGUUCCUUUCACCUCAUGUUCUCGUUUAUAUCAAUAAUUGUUUAAAUGGCAAAGCUUUAAUAAACAAAGGGAGGGGGGCACGAUGAGGCUACUGGUAUAUCAAUCAACCUGAUCGAGCCAUCUGUUAGUUCCUUGAUAUGGUGUUAAUGUAAAAAAAAUGUAUUUAAACAAUGUGUGACAACUCCCCAUUGUGGAUUAAAACACUAGUAUUGGUGUUGUGGUGACCGUACAGCCUUCAGCAUGGGUUCAGACCCCCUCUCUACCUUGGUUAGGGCCUGGUGAUGACCGUACAGCCUUCAGCAUGGGUUCAGACCCCCUCUCUACCUUGGUUAGGGCCUGGUGAUGACCGUAGAGCCUUCAGCAUGAGUUCAGACCCC